CCCUAAACCUAGAUAUUUAAUAUACAAAAAUAUCCGCCAGAGAACUACGAGCAUAAACGCUUAAAACUCUAAGGACUUGGCGGUACCUCAAACCCUCCUAGAGGAGCCUGUUCUAUAAUCGAUAAUCCACGAUAUACCCUACCAUCUCUUGCUAAUCCCGCCUAUAUACCGCCGUCACCAGCUUACCCCUGAGGGAUAUAAAAAGUAAGCAAAAUAACUAAAAAGUUAAUAAGUCAGGUCAAGGUGUAGCUUACUGAGAUGGGAGAAAUGGGCUACAUUUUCUACAUUAGAAAUUAAUUUACGGAAGGAAACUAUGAAACUAGUCCUGCAAGUAGGAUUUAGCAGUAAACCUGGAUCAUAAUGCCUAAUUUAAACCGGUCCUGAGGUGCGC
rnacentral:rRNA from 1 species